GUAAACACUGGUACAUGUAGUUUACCAAUUUGAUCGGAACCAUGACUCAACAUAUUUUUUGCUCAUACUUUCUUUCUCGUUUAUUAUGUUAGUCACUGUCUAGUUUUGUUUCUGUUUUGAGCUAUGGUGUUGGUGAAAUUUUUUCUUUAACUAUUCUUUAUAUUGCUGUUAUUCUUAAUACUUAUUGUUGUGUUCUAAUUUUGUUGUACCACACUGUAAACUGAAUGUUCAAAUAAAGCAUAAUAUAUAUAUAUAUAUAUUAUGCUUUAUAUAUAUAAUUAUUUAUUUAUUUAAAAAGAUCUGCUCAGAUAUGGCAGCAAAAUCCCUUCACGGACUGGCGCGCGAGGCGGCGCUCGCUUAUGGAGAUAUAACAGCUGUUAGGUUCGACAGCAGCGUUGCAGCGCGUGUGUCUAUGACAUAUGAUGAAUUAAUUAACUGAACACCUGCGCGACUCUGUCCAAAAACACGAUGGCGUUAUAGGGUUAAUCUGUCAUACAGAUGUCUUCCUUCCUGUCUGGAUUAUUGGUGUUUUGCAGUUUCCUGCUGCAUAUGUACUCCUUGAUCCUGCAUCACCAGCUUCAUGCACCCUGAGAACGAUAAACAAGUGCAGUCUGAACUUCUGCUUGAUACAGAGUGACUUGCUUCAUGUGGGUUUAAUACAGUUGCCAGUUUUACAACAUUCUAUUCUAUUAAAUUCUGUUCUGUUAUAUGAAACCAACAGCCAUUCCAGAAUGCAUUUUCCAGACUGCUAUCCCUGGAGGUAUAGUCAACACUGCCGUCACAUAAACUUACUCUAACAGAGAUACAAAGAGAACAGGAUGCAAACAUUCAGCUGACAGAGGUUGAACAUCAGCAUUCCAACUCUGCUAUAACUAAAGACAUCCACCAGAGAGAGCCGUUGGCUUAUGUUUUGCACACAUCUGGAACAACGGGGCUACCAAAGAUAGUGGCGGUCCCACACAGAUCUCUAUUUAAGAUGACUGCAGAAGAUACCGUGUUCCUUUCCUCUCCGCAUUUGAUCCGUCUGUGGUAGAGAUGUUUUUGGCCCUGUCUUCUGGAGCAUGUCUCCUCAUUGUUCCCACUGCUGUUAAAAAGAUGCCACGCCGACUUGCACACGUGUUGUUCAAACAAAACACAACAACAGUCUUACAGGCAAGUGACUUUGAUUCUUAAAGGGAUAGUUUGCCCCAAAAUGAAUAAAAGAAUGAAAUGAAAAUCCCCUUCAUGAUGUUCCAAAGCCAUAUGACUCUGUUUCCUCCAUGGAACACAAAAGAAGAUGUUACACAGAAUGUAACCCUCAGUCACCAUUCACUUUCAUUGUAUGGAACAAAGAUAUCAUUUUAAUUUUUGUCUGAACUAUCAUUUUAAGCUCCGGAGCUAUCAGUCACGAGGCCUGUUUGUGACAGCCUUUAAUUCGAGAUUUUAACAAUCAAAACACUUUAUAACUUCAUUUAUUUGCUUGGCAGGUGCUUUCUUAAAAACAAACACAUGCUGUGUUGCUGAGAUAAUGAUGCUGUAAUCAACUUGGGUAGAGGAAGCAGUCAAUUGAAAUUGGUGCAUUAUGCAGAUUACAGAGAUAAUGAGUGGCUUCUGUGGCAGUGUUUAUUUAUGCCCAUCAACAGUUUGUUUUUGAUAGUUUGUUUAAAGGUAUAGUUCACCCAAAAAAUGAAAAUUCUCAGCAUUUUCUUACCAUUAGGGGUGGGCAAUAUGACCAAAAUCUUGUAUCACGAUAUGAAUAAUAUGAAAUCACAAUAACAAUAUAUAUAUAUAUAUAUAUAUCACAUUAUUGUCAUUUUUUUCCUGUAAAAUCAAUAAAAAUAGGUUUAUAUAACCACAUUGUAAUGCCUAUUUUUGAUAAUCCAGGCAGUGAAUUAAAUACUUUAUAAAUUAAAACUUCUAACUCUUAGAUAAUUUUCUCCUUACUCGGAACUUGAAAAACAUAGUUAAAAAACAAACAAACAAACACUCAACUUAAUUUUAAAGGUGCACUCAGUAAUAUUUCUAAACUUCUAAAGACAUGAAUUGUAAUUUUGCAAUAUCUGUAGGAAAUCAUGACCACUUACAUUAAAAUGAAAGACAUCAGUCAUAUCAGUAACCUUAUAAAAGCUGUUUUAUUCUACAUUUAGAAGGUCCGAUCAUGGGGGCUGCCAUGUUAGAAUCACAUGACCAGCCAAAUACUACUCGCAUAAUCUCAGUAAGCAUCCUGUUAUUUGACACUUUCAUUAAUAGAUUAAAGUAAUCAUGGCUGACUGUGAAUAAUACUGCUACAAUGGCAUCUGAAACUGAAAACUAUUGAUUUUAAAUGAUGCUGCUUCCAAGCCGCUAGGUGUCAGUGUAAGUCCAAGAUGACACAAAGACAAAAGUUAUUGAGUGCCCCUUUAAAACCCAGUUACCAUAAUGCUAAAUUUCACAUGGCACAUUUCAGUCUGAUAUGUUUAUGACCUGUAUUAUUAUAAUUAUAAACUUUCCUUAAGAAACUCAACAUCAAGUUUAAUGUUAUUAAAAUGAAUUGUAUUCUAAAAUUUAACUACCUGCUACAAUCUCUCUCUGUAGAUGUCCCCCUCUCUUAUUUCAAGCAAUUUGAUAGCAUAGCGAAGUCCUUCAUUUGGAAUGGUAAACGUCCUAUAUUACAUUUUAAUAAGUUACAUAGGCCGAUAGACAAAGUUGGGCUAGGCCUACCCAAGAUUUUGUUUUAUUAUUAUGCAUUCAGUCUCAGACAUGUGGCUCAUUGGUCGCAUCCACCUGAGAGAGCCCCUCCCUGGUUUUGUAUUGAACAGGAAGUUCUUGCCCCUUUUUUGCCAUUGCAAAGCAUUUCUAUCAAACUAAUCGGAAAAGUUAAGUUACACCCUGUUAUCUCGCAUUUGCACUCGGUAUGGACAAAAAUGUCUAGAGUGUUUAAUUCGGACAUUUAUUUAAAUGUUGCCUCGAGCAUAUGGCUGAACCCUAAAUUAUGUAUUGAUAAGUCCCCUUUCUGCUGGUCAGAGUGGUGAGGAGGGUUAGUACACUCGUUGACAUAUGAGAGUGGAGUGUUGAGAUCCUUUUAAAAUAUGGUUCAACAUUUUGGGAUUCCCAGAUCUCAGUUCUUCAGGUAUUUACAGCUGUGCCACCUGCGUUGUACAAUUUUUGGGAGUAGCAUACACCCCCCUAAAGCGGCAGAUACUAUGGGAGUGGUGAUUACUGCUUUUGGAAAAGGUCAUGAGGCAUCAGUGUAUUACUCCCUGCUAAUUCAGAGUCUGGGGGACGGAACUUUAACUUCUAUCAAGAGAUUAUGGGAGAAAGAUUUAAACUUGGUAUUGGGGAGGGAGUGUGGGCUAGGAUUCUUUAAAUGUCAAGUUUGCAUCUAGAGAUGCAAGGGUGCGUUUUAUGCAAUUCAAGAUUUUACAUAAAUUUUAUUAUAUAAACCCAUGUUUUUUGGGGGUGUGUUAAGAUCCAAGAAUUCUGGUUGAAGGUUCAGAGUUGUAUGUGUGACGUUUUGGGCACUCAGAUUUUACUUUGCCCCAGACUCUGUAUUUUGGGUGAUGGGGUGGUCAUAAAUUUGGGGGAUAAACACAAAAAAUUGGGUUCUGACCAGUAUCAUGAUUGGCAGGCAAAUUAUUUUAAGGGGAUGGAAGUCAGAAGGAGCGCCCUCAUUUACGGAGUAGUGUGCAGAGAUGGGGAGGGUGGCUGCUUUCGAGGAGGUGGCAAG